rnacentral:lncRNA from 1 species
CUGUCUCACCACUCCACCCCCUUUAACAACUGUUGUUUUAUGUAACAUUUUACUUGUCUUUUCACCAUUGGAUUCUCCCCGUGUUUCUAGCUACCAGCUCAUAGCUUAGAAUGUGAAAUAAUACCUGUGGCUGAAAAGAAGCUCUUUUGACCCAGGAUCCUGGUCCUCUGCAUAACAGUCAAGACCAUUCUCAUUUGCCUGAAAGUGUUUUAGAGAAGAAAGAGAAAUUCAGGACCAAUCAGCAAUUCCCUUUUCCACUCUUAUGAAGAAAGAAAAAGGAUUUGUGUUAUUUGAGAUUUAAGUUACUUCCUUUUUUCCUAUGACAGGUUUUGGUAAAUGCCCAGCUCCAAUAAUACGUUAACAUUUUCAGAGUCAAUCUGGGUUAUAAGUAAAUAAACUCCAUUUUGAUCUUG